rnacentral:rRNA from 1 species
AGCGAACGCUGGCGGCAGGCUUAACACAUGCAAGUCGAGCGGGCACUUCGGUGUCAGCGGCAGACGGGUGAGUAACACGUGGGAACGUACCCUUCGGUUCGGAAUAACGCUGGGAAACUAGCGCUAAUACCGGAUACGCCCUUUUAGGGAAAGGUUUACUGCCGAAGGAUCGGCCCGCGUCUGAUUAGCUAGUUGGUGGGGUAAUGGCCUACCAAGGCGACGAUCAGUAGCUGGUCUGAGAGGAUGAUCAGCCACACUGGGACUGAGACACGGCCCAGACUCCUACGGGAGGCAGCAGUGGGGAAUAUUGGACAAUGGGCGCAAGCCUGAUCCAGCCAUGCCGCGUGAGUGAUGAAGGCCUUAGGGUUGUAAAGCUCUUUUGUCCGGGACGAUAAUGACGGUACCGGAAGAAUAAGCCCCGGCUAACUUCGUG